rnacentral:lncRNA from 1 species
UUGUUCCGGUUUUGGUUCUUGUGUAGGUCGACAUCGAUUCGUUCCAAAUUUACACUCUCGGGGCACAAUAGAACAAUAUAAUUAGCUUUUACUCUUUGUUCGAUUAAAUGAGAAAAAGUACUCGUUUCAAAGUUAUACUGUUAGGGCGCAACUGAGUAGUCUUUUUUGUUCCGGUUAUUGUUCUUUUAAAGGUUGACAUCAAUUCGUUGCAUAUUUACACUCUCGGGGUAUAAUAGAACAAUAUAAUUAGCUUUUGCUCUUUGUUCGAUUGAAUGUUAAAAAGUACUCGUCGCAAAGUUAUACUGUUAGGGCGCAACUGAGUAGUCUACUUUUGUUCCGGUUUAGGUUCUUUUGAAGGUUGACAUCCAUUCGUUCCAUAUUUACACUCUCGCGGUAUAAUAGAACAAUAUAAUUAGCUUUACUCUUUAUUCGAUUGAAUGAGAAAAAGUACUCGUCGCAAAGUUAUAUUGUUAGGGCGGAACUGAUUAGUCUUUUUUUGUUCCGGUUUUGGUUCUUGUGAAGGUUGACAUCGAUUCGUUCCAAAUUUACACUCUCCGGACACAAUAGAACAAUAUAAUUUGCUUUUACUCUCUGUUCGAUUAAAUGAGAAAUAGUACUCGUUGCAAAGUUAUGCUGUUAGGGCGCAUCUGAGUAGUCUACUUUUGUUCCAGUUUUGGUGUUUUUGAAGGUUGACAUCCAUUCGUACCAUAUUUACACUCUCGCGGUAUAAUAGAACAAUAUAAUUAGAUUUUACUCUUUGUUCGAUUGAAUAAGAAAAAGUACUCGUUCCAAAGUUAUACUGUUUGGGCGCAACUGAGUAGUCUAUUUUUGUUCCGGUUUUGGUUCUUAUGAAUGUUGACAUCGAUUCCAAAUUUACACUCUCGGGGCACAAUAGAACAAUAUAAUUAGCUUUAACUCUUUAUUGGAUUAAAUGAGAAAAAGUACUCGUUGCAAUGUUAUACUGUUAGGGCGCAACUGGGUAGUUUUUUUUGUUCCGGUUUUUGUUCUUUUAAAGGUUGACAUCAAUUCGUUCCAUAUUUACACUCUCGGGGUAUAAUAGAACAAUAUAAUUCGCUUUUACUCUUUGUUCGAUUGAAUGAUAAAAAGUACUCGUUACAAAGAUAUACAGUUAGGGCGUAACUGAGUAGUCUACUUUUGUUCCGGUUUAGGUUCUUUUGAAGGUUGACAUCCAUUCGUUCCAUAUUUACACUCUCGCGGUAUAAUAGAACAAUAUAAUUAUAUUUUACUCUUUGUUCGAUUGAAUGAGAAAAAGUACUCUUUGCAAAGUUAUACUGUUAGGGCACAAUUGAGUAGUCUAUUUUUGUUCCGGUUUUGGUUCUUGUGAAGGUUGACAUCGAUUCGUUCCAAAUUUACACUCUCGGGGCAUAAUAGAACAAUAUAAUUAGCUUUCGCUCUUUGUUCGAUUGAAUGAGAAAAAGUACUCGUCGCAAAGCUAUAUUGUUAGGGCGGAACUGAGUAGUCAUUUUUUGUUCCGGUUUUGGUUCUUGUGAAGGUUGACAUCGAUUUGUUCCAUAUUUACACUCUCGCGGUAUAAUAGAAUAAUAUAAUUAGCUUUUACUCUUUGUUCGAUUGAAUGUGAAAAUGUAUUCGUUGCAAAGUUAUACUGUUAGGGCGCAACUGAGUAGUCUAUUUUUGUUCCGGUUUUGGUUCUUGUGAAGGUUGACAUCGAUUCGUUCCAAAUUUACACUCUCAGGACAAAAUAGAACAAUAUAAUUAGAUUUUACUCUUUGUUCGAUUAAAUGAGAAAUAGUACUCGUUGCAAAGUUAUGCUGUUAGAGCGCAUCUGAGUAGUCUAUUUUUGUUACUGUUUUGGUUCUUUUAUAGGUUGACGUCAAUUCGUUCCAUAUUUACACUCUCGGGGUAUAAUAGAACAAUAUAAUUAGCUUUUACCCUUUGUUCGAUUGAAUGAAAAAAAGUACUCGUUGCAAAGUUAUACUGUUAGGGCGCAACUGAGUAGUCUAUUUUUGUUCCGGUUUUCGUUCUUGUGAAUGUUGAUAUCGAUUCGUUCCAAAUUUACACUCUCGGGGCACAAUAGAACAAUAUAAUUAGCUUUAACUCUUUAUUCGAUUAAAUGAGAAAAAGUACUCGUUGCAAAGUUAUACUGUUAGGGCGCAACUGAGUAGUCUUUUUUUGUUCCGGUUUUGGUUCUUUUAAAGUUUGACAUCAAUUCGUUCCAUAUUUACACUCUCGGUGUAUAAUAGAACAAUAUAAUUAGCUUUUACUCUUUGUUCGAUUGAAUGAGAAAAAGUACUCGUCGCAAAGUUAUAUUGUUAGGGCGAAACUGAGUAGUGUUUUUUUGUUCCGGUUUUGAUUCUUGUGAAGGUUGACAUCGAUUCGUUCUAAAUUUACACUCUCUGGACACAAUAGAACAAUAUAAUUAGCUUUUACUCUUUGUUCGAUUAAAUGAGAAAUAGUACUCGUUGCAAAGUUAUACUGUUAGGGCACAACUGAUUAGUCUAUUUUUGUUCCGGUUUUGGUUCUUAUGAAUGUUGACAUCGAUUCGUUCCAAAUUUACACUCUCAGUACGCAACGAUAUACUGUUAGGGCGCAACUGAGUAGUGUAUUUUUGUUCCAGUUUUGGUUCUUGUGAAGGUUGACAUCGAUUCGUUCCAAAUUGACAUUCUCUGGGCAUAAUUAGAACAAUAUAAUUUGCUUUUACUCUUUGUUCGAUUGAAUGAGAAAAAGUACUGGUCGCAAAGUUAUAUUGUUAGGGCGGAACUGAGUAGUCUUUUUUUGUUCCGGUUUUGGUUCUUGUGAAGGUUGACCUCGAUUCGUUCCAAAUUUACACUCUCCGGACACAAUAGAACAAUAUAAUUAGCUUUUACUCUCUGUUCGAUUAAAUGAGAAAUAGUACUCGUUGCAAUAUUAUACUGUUAGGGCGCAUCUGAGUAGUCUCCUUUUGUUCCGGUUUUGGUGUUUUUGAAGGUUGAUAUCCAUUCGUACCAUAUUUACACUCUCGCGGUAUAAUAGAACAAUAUAAUUAGAUUUUACUCUUUGUUCGAUUGAAUAAGAAAAAGUACUCGUUGCAAAGUUAUACUGUUAGGGCGCAACUGAGUAGUCUAUUUUUGUUCCAGUUUUGGUUCUUGUGAAUGUUGACAUCGAUUCGUUCCAAAUUUACACUCUCGGGACACAAUAGAACAAUAUAAUUAGCUUUAACUCUUUAUUGUAUUAAAUGAGAAAAAGUACUCGUUGCAAAGUUAUACUGUUGGGGUGCAACUGAGUAGUCUUUUUUUGUUCCGGUUUUGGUUCUUUUAAAGGUUGACAUCAAUUCGUUCCAUAUUUACACUCUCGGGGUAUAAUAGAACAAUAUAAUUAGCUUUUACUCUUUGUUCGAUUGAAUGAUAAAAAGUACUCGUUACAAAGUUAUACAGUUAGGGCGUAACUGAGUAGUCUACAUUUGUUCCGGUUUAGGUUCUUUUGAAAGUUGACAUCCAUUCGUUCUAUAUUUACACUCUCGCGGUAUAAUAGAAUAUUAUAAUUAGAUUUUACUCUUUGUUCGAUUGAAUAAGAAAAAGUACUCGUUGCAAAGUUAUACUGUUAGGGCACAAUUGAGUAGUCUAUCUUUGUUCCGGUUUUGGUUCUUGUGUAGGUUGACAUCGAUUCGUUCCAAAUUUACACUCUCAGGACACAAUAGAACAAUAUAAUUAGCUUUUCUCUUUAUUGGAUUAAAUGAGAAAAAGUACUCGUUGCAAAGUUAUACUGUUAGGGCGCAACUGAGUAGUCUUUUUUUGUUCCGGUUUUUGUUCUUUUAAAGGUUGACAUCAAUUCGUUCCAUAUUUACACUCUCGGGGUAUAAUAGAACAAUAUAAUUCGCUUUUACUUUUUGUUCGAUUUAAUAAUAAAAAGUACUCGUUACAAAGUUAUACAGUUAGCGCGUAACUGAGUAGUCUACUUUUGUUCCGGUUUAGGUUCUUUCGAAGGUUGACAUCCAUUCGUUCCAUAUUUACACUCUCGAGGUAUAAUAGAACAAUAUAAAUAGGUUUUUCUCUUUUGUUCGAUAGAUUGAGAAAAAGUACUCGUCGCAAAGUUAUACUGUUAGGACGUAACUGAGUAUUCUAAUGUUGUUCCGAUUUUUGUUCUUGUGAUUGACAUCAAUUCGUUCCAUAUUUACACUCUCGGGGUAUAAUAGAACAAUAUAAUUAGCUUUUACUCUUCGUUCGAUUGAAUGAUAAAAAGUACUCGUUGCAAAGUUAUACUGUUAGGGCGCAACUGAGUAGUCUACUUUUGUUCGGUUUAGGUUCUUUUGAAGGUUGACAUCCAUUCGUACCAUAUUUACACUCUCGCGGUAUAAUAGAACAAUAUAAUUAGAUUUUACUCUUUGUUCGAUUGAAUAAAAAAAAGUACUCGUUCCAAAGUUAUAUUGUUUGGGCGCAACUGAGUAGUCUAUUUUUGUUCCGGUUUUGAUUCUUGUGAAGGUUGACAUCGAUUCGUUCCAAAUUUACACUCUCGGGGCACAAUAGAACAUUAUAAUUAGCUUUAACUCUUUAUUGGAUUAAAUGAGAAAAAGUACUCGUUGCAAAGUUAUACUGUUAGGGCUCAACUGAGUAGUCUAUUUUUGUUCCGAUUAUUGUUCUUUUAAUGGUUGACAUCAAUUCGUUCCAUAUUUACACUCUCGGGUUAUAAUAGAACAAUAUAAUUCGCUUUUACUCUUUGUUCGAUUGAAUGAUAAAAAGUACUCGUUACAAAGAUAUACAGUUAGGGUGUAACUGAGUAGUCUACUUUUGUUCCGGUUUAGGUUCUUUUGAAGGUUGACAUCCAUUCGUUCUAUAUUUACACUCUCGGGGUAUAAUAGAACAUUAUAAUUAGAUUUUACUCUUUGUUCGAUUGAAAGAUAAAAAGUACUCGUCGUAAAGUUACAUUGUUAGGGCGGAACUGAGUAGUCAUUUUUUGUUCCUUUUUUGGUUCUUGUGAAGGUUGACCUCGAUUCGUUCCAAAUUUACACUCUCGGGGCACAAUAGAACAAUAUAAUUAGCUUUUACUCUUUGUUCGAUUAAAUGAGAAAAAGUACUCGUUGCAAAGUUUUACUGUUAGGGCGCAACUGAGUAGUCUUUUUUUGUUCCGGUUUUGGUUCUUUUGAAGGUUGACAUCCAUUCGUUCCAUAUUUACACUCUCGCGAUAUAAUAGAACAAUAUAAUUAGCUAUUACUCUUUGUUCGAUUGAAUGAGAAAAAGUACUCGUUGCAAGUUAUCCUGUUAGGGCGCAACUGAGUAGUCUAUUUUUGUUCCAGUUUUGGUUCUUGUGAAGUUUGACAUCGAUUCGUUCCAAAUUUACACUCUCGGGGCAUAAUAGAACAAUAUAAUUUGCUUUUACUCUUUGUUCGAUUGAAUGAGAAAAAGUACUGGUCGCAAAGUUAUAUUGUUAGGGCGGAACUGAGUAGUCUUUUUUUGUUCCGGUUUUGGUUCUUGUGAAGGUUGACCUCGAUUCGUUCCAAAUUUACACUCUCCGGACACAAUAGAACAAUAUAAUUAGCUUUUACUCUCUGUUCGAUUAAAUGAGAAAUAGUACUCGUUGCAAUAUUAUACUGUUAGGGCGCAUCUGAGUAGUCUCCUUUUGUUCCGGUUUUGGUGUUUUUGAAGGUUGAUAUCCAUUCGUACCAUAUUUACACUCUCGCGGUAUAAUAGAACAAUAUAAUUAGAUUUUACUCUUUGUUCGAUUGAAUAAGAAAAAGUACUCGUUGCAAAGUUAUACUGUUAGGGCGCAACUGAGUAGUCUAUUUUUGUUCCAGUUUUGGUUCUUGUGAAUGUUGACAUCGAUUCGUUCCAAAUUUACACUCUCGGGACACAAUAGAACAAUAUAAUUAGCUUUAACUCUUUAUUGUAUUAAAUGAGAAAAAGUACUCGUUGCAAAGUUAUACUGUUGGGGUGCAACUGAGUAGUCUUUUUUUGUUCCGGUUUUGGUUCUUUUAAAGGUUGACAUCAAUUCGUUCCAUAUUUACACUCUCGGGGUAUAAUAGAACAAUAUAAUUAGCUUUUACUCUUUGUUCGAUUGAAUGAUAAAAAGUACUCGUUACAAAGUUAUACAGUUAGGGCGUAACUGAGUAGUCUACAUUUGUUCCGGUUUAGGUUCUUUUGAAAGUUGACAUCCAUUCGUACCAUAUUUACACUCUCGCGGUAUAUUAGAACAAUAUAAUUCGAUUUUACUCUUUGUUCGAUUGAAUAAAAAAAAGUACUCGUUCCAAAGUUAUACUGUUUGGGCGCAACUGAGUAGUCUAUUUUUUUUCCGGUUUUGGUUCUUGUGAAUGUUGACAUCGAUUAGUUCCAAAUUUACACUCUCGGGGCACAAUAGAACAAUAUAAUUAGAUUUAACUCUUUAUUGGAUUAAAUGAGAAAAAGUACUCGUUGCAAAGUUAUACUGUUAGGGCGCAACUGAGUAGUCUUUUUUUGUUCCGGUUUUUGUUCUUUUAAAGGUUGACAUCAAUUCGUUCCAUAUUUACACUCUCGGGGUAUAAUAGAACAAUAUAAUUCGCUUUUACUUUUUGUUCGAUUUAAUAAUAAAAAGUACUCGUUACAAAGUUAUACAGUUAGCGCGUAACUGAGUAGUCUACUUUUGUUCCGGUUUAGGUUCUUUCGAAGGUUGACAUCCAUUCGUUCCAUAUUUACACUCUCGCGGUAUAAUAGAAUAAUAUAAUUAGAUUUUACUCUUUGUUCGAUUGAAUGAGAAAAAGUACUCGUUGCAAAGUUAUAUUGUUAGGGCGGAACUGAGUAGUCUUUUUUUGUUCCGUUUUUUGUUCUUGUGAAGGUUGAUAUCGAUUCGUUCCAAAUUUACACUCUCAGGACACAAUAGAAAAAUAUAAUUAGCUUUUACACUUUGUUCGAUUGAAUGAGAAAAAGUACUCGUUGCAAAGUUAUACUGUUAGGACGCAACUGAGUAGUCUUUUUUGUUCCGGUUAUUGUUCUUUUAAAGGUUGACAUCAAUUCGUUGCAUAUUUACACUCUCGGGGUAUAAUAGAAUAAUAUAAUUAUCUUUUACUCUUUGUUCGAUUGAAUGAUAAAAAGUACUCGUUGCAAGUUAUACUGUUAGGGCGCAACUGAGUAGUCUAUUUUUGUUCCGGUUUUCGUUCUUGUGAAUGUUGAUAUCGAUUCGUUCCAAAUUUACACUCUCGGGGCACAAUAGAACAAUAUAAUUAGCUUUAACUCUUUAUUCGAUUAAAUGAGAAAAAGUACUCGUUGCAAAGUUAUACUGUUAGGGCGCAACUGAGUAGUCUUUUUUUGUUCCGGUUUUGGUUCUUUUAAAGUUUGACAUCAAUUCGUUCCAUAUUUACACUCUCGGUGUAUAAUAGAACAAUAUAAUUAGCUUUUACUGUUUGUUCGAUUGAAUGAUAAAAAUUACUCGUUACAAAGUUAUACAGUUAGGGCGUAACUGAGUAGUCUACUUUUGUUCCGGUUUUGGUGUGUUUGAAGGUUGACAUCCAUUCGUACCAUAUUUACACUCUCGCGGUAUAAUAGAACAAUAUAAUUAGAUUUUACUCUUUGUUCGAUUGAAUAAGAAAAAGUACUCGUUCCAAAGUUAUACUGUUUGGGCGCAACUGAGUAGUCUAUUUUUGUUCCGGUUUUGGUUCUUGUGAAUGUUGAGAUCGAUUCGUUCCAUAUUUACACUCUCUGGGCAUAAUAGAACAAUAUAAUUAGCUUUAACUCUUUAUUGGAUUAAAUGAGAAAAAGUACUCGUUGCAAUGUUAUACUGUUAGGGCGCAACUGAGUAGUCUUUUUUUGUUCCGAUUUUGGUUCUUUUAUAGGUUGACAUCAAUUCGUUCCAUAUUUACACUCGCGGGGUAUAAUUGAACAAUAUAAUUAGCUUUUACUCUUUGUUCGAUUCA